GACAACUGUCCACAGAACCCAAACCCUGACCAGGCCAACAGUAACGACACCCCUCCUGGAAACGCUUGUGAUAAUGAAACAUCGUUGAAAGACGUCAUCGCUACAAUCUGUGAGAACCAGCCUGACGGUACCUACCGUCCACAUCCGUCCGACUGCUCCAAGUACGUCCGAUGUUUCCAUGCGGGGAAUGACGCCGUGUACAACUGUGCUCCCGGUACCCACUGGAGUCAGGAACUACUGACCUGUGUUAGGUCUGAUCUGGCCACUUGCAGCUAGAUUAGAAGAGGCACCAAUACAACGAACUCAAAUGGACACGAGAGAAAUUGCUGAUCUCAACUUAGCUCAUUUUUUUCAGCACUAGUUCCUUAAACGCAACGCUACAAAGGCAACCACAAGAAAGUGCAACUGCUCGCUU